AGAGGAACCCUCCCCAAAGGGACAGAGAGCUUGUGUGCACUGUUAUGUAUAGGAUGGCUCAGCUUUGCCGGGGGUGGGUAUCACCCCAUUAAUUGCAGUCACAGGUUGGAUCAGACCUAACCUGACUCUUGCUAUCUGUAGUUGAAAGCUGCUGCAGGAUUUUCAAGGCAGGGCUUCCUGUAAAACACCCUAACAGAUAAAUUCAGUUUUGCAGGAUGUCUGGAUGUUGGGGGGGGGGGGUGUUUCUUUUUGUUUCUGUCAAAACUGGACUGAUAAAACUAAAGGAAUUGGCGCAGAUUCCUUACCAUCAGGGGACUAGCUGGUGGUGCCUUAGUUUGGCCAUGAUAAGCUUUCUAUUGCAGUGACAGUCCUGGUGGCACGCAGAGCCACGAGGGUCAGUCCCUAACAUAGACCUAGUCUAAAUUAUUCCCACAAACUACUGCUGUGAAUGCUGCCAUGCCACCCAGGAAACCCUGCGGGAAUCCAGCCACUGCUGCUCCGAAUUCUUGUUCUGCGGUCUCUGCAUGCGUGAACCUGCUAACCCUGGACCAUCCGGCGUUCAAAUGUCAGAGCUGCAUGCCUGCUUACUGAACUAAGGAGGUCACACACAGGCAGCCUGCUGAAGUUUCCUGUGUUCAGCGGGGUUGCCUUGCCUGCAUCCUGUUGGCCUCGUGCAGUUGGUGCUGACCUUCAUGGGAGGUUGGCUCCCCUCUGAGCACCCGACACGAGCCCCUCCCCAGCUUUCCUGGAGCCCCUUUCUGUACUGGAAGCUGCUCUAAGGUCUCCCUGCAGCCCUCUCUUCUCCAGGCUGAACAAUCCCAGCUCUCCCAGCCUGUCCUCCUGCGGGAUGUGCUCCAACCCUCGGAUCAUCGCUGUGGCCUCCUCUGGACUCGCUCCAAGAGCUCCAUGUCCUUCCUCUGCUGAUGUCGGGCUGAACAACCCCAACUCUCUCAGCCUGUCCUCACACAGGAGGUGCUCCAGCCCUUCGAUCAUCUCCAUGGCCUCCUCUGGAAUCCCUCCAACAGCUUUAUGUCCUUUCUGUCCUGAGGACUCCAGCACCGAACACAGAGUUCCAGCUCGGGGCUGUCGAUGCCGUCCCAGCGCCACGAGCGUUCCUGCAGCUGCGAUGGGUGUGAGGAUCUGGGUACCAGAGGGGACCGAGGACCCCACAGGGGGACUCACCCGCUGGCGCAAGCUUUGCUGCUCCUGCAGCAGCUCCAGGAACCGACUGCUCCACAGCAGCUUCUCAGCGCCCAGCUCGGUGCAGAGGAAGCGGACGUCAGCCUCCAGUGCCUCCAGUCUUUCCAGCACAGCCUCAAAGGUGUCACCUUGCCGCUGUUGCUCUGCCACUGCCCUGACACCACAGCUCUGCUCUUGCCAAAGCCCCGCGGCACCCAUCCUGCCCAGCUUCUGCGCUGGGGACACCCCCGUAGUGCUGGGGACCCACCUGCCUGCCUUGAUUCCAGCGCAGAAUUGGAGUCUCCGUCCUCCUCGCUGCUAUUUUCCAGCCUCAACCACAGCACCGUGCCAAGCUGAAAGCCAGGGUGGACUGACAGGGACAACCAAGCCUGGGUGGCCCCCAGCACCAACUGUGCCCUGGGGACCCACAGCCCCGCUGGCACUGCUGACAGCCGUGUCCUGGGGCAUCGGAGCCCUCCAGAGCCCCCACGGUGUGGGGACAUAGUGGGAGAGUUACCUCCUCGGUGGUCUGGAAGGCGCUGUCCCAGCAGCUCUUGUAGCAGAUCAGCAGGAACUGAGGGAGAGGAUGGUGGCCACGUGGUGAAAGCAGUGGGUGCAAACCCACCUUGGGAGCCCAGAGCCUGGACCAACGUCCCCAUGGCUCUCAGGGGACAGAACUGUCCGGUGCCUCCAGCCAAGAGCCAACCCCCAAGGAUGACAGUCCUGAUCCCUCAAGUCCUGCUGCCAGAUGGGGUGGUGGCACCUCCCAAACCACAACCCUCAGUGCUCCCAGUACAGAGCCCCGGCAGCAUCCCCUGAGCCCUGGUGUGGGACACACGCUGCCUUUGGAGCCAACACAACACGACCUCUUGGGAAGGGGUCCUGCAGUACCAACCCACGCCAGCUUCCAGAGCCAUCGCAGCCCCUGGAGCACCAUCCCGGAGAGUGAGAGGAGCCACCAGCACCCGGCACACAGGAGCUGCCUCCAGCCGGGCACCGGCUGUGCCCGCUGCCUGCCCAUGGUGACCCUGAGGAGCGGGAGAAGCAGCAGUGAUGGCCCCGUGUCCAUCUCACCGUGUGCAUCACCGCACGCCGGCAGCCAGCCCGGUUUGCCGAGGGAUGGGAAAUGUUCCAGCCGAAACGGUGCAGCAGCUUUCCUCGAGGUCAAAGAGGCGCAGCAAGGACUGUUACCCUCUGAAGUUCAGGCGCUCUUGCGAUCCUUGCUUUGAAACAGCAGCAGUAGUGGUCGAAAAGCUGCUUUUGUACCAAAGCCAAAUCAUCAAAAACCAUCAGUGAAGGCUUCUCUUUUCGAGAGCUAUGGAAGAGCAAAGCCUUUGAGGAGCUGAUGCUGUUUCCUAGAUCUUUCACCCACCCCCUAUUUAACCUCUGUAACUUCAACCACAAAGAAGUAGGGCAGCUUCCCACUAAGCCCUCACAUCCCGAGACUCCCUGCGGGAUAAGCCAACUCCCACUGCGGACAAAGACAAAGCUGCCUUGAUCCCUGAACCAGACACCAGAACAAGGGAGAACUUCACUCCUCCCCUUUUGUCUUUGCUCUCAGGUACCAUUCUGCACUGACUGAAGGAGCUGGGAAAGUCCCAAAACACUGCGAAAGCAGAGCAAAACGCACGCUGAGCUGCACCGAAUGCACUCGCCGGGGGGCUGCGAGUAAUUGAGCUUUUCCCCCAGAACCCUCUUCAUCGUCAACAUUUAAACAGACACAAAUGCAUGACAGCACCGGUAAUAAAACCAAGUGAGAAAAGCAAAGCCUAUUUUAACAGCAGCACUGAUAUCCUGACCUGGGUGCUGUGAAAAGCACCUCACGCUCAGCCCUCCGCAUACGCUUCCAGUGGCAAUUAUAGAAUCGUAGAAUAGUUUGGGUUGGAAGGGACCUGAAAGAUCAUCCAGUUCCAACCCCCUGCCAUGGGCAGGGACACAUCCCACUGGAUCAGCUGCCCAAGGCCCAUCCAACCUGGCCUGGAACCCCUCCAGGGAUGGGGCAGCCACAACGCCCCCGGACAACCUGUUCCAGGGCCUCACAGCUCUCGUGGUGAAGAAAUUCCUCCUUAUGUCCAGUCUAAAUCUGCCCCUCUCCAGUUUAUACCCAUUGCCCCUCAUCUUGUCCCCAUAAGCCUUUGUGAACAGCCCCUCUCCAGCUUUCCUGGAGCCCCUUCAGGUACUGGAAGGUCACUCAAAGGUCUCCUGGGAGCCUUCUUUUCUCCAGGCUGAACAACCCCAACUCUCAGCCUGUCCUCAUAUGGAAGGUGCUCCAGCCCUCAGAUCAUCUUUGUAGCCUCCUCUGGACCCGUUCCAACAGCUCCAUCUCAUUCUGAUGUUGAGAAUUCCACAACUGGACACAAUCCUCCAGCUGAGGUCUCCCCAGAGAGGAGCAGAGGGGCAGAAUCCCCUCCCUCCCUGCUGCCCACGCUGCUUUGGAUGCAGCCCAGGACACGGUUGGUUUCUGGGCUGUGAGCGCACAUUGCCGGCUCAUGUCAAGCUCCUCAUCAACCAUCACCCCAAGUCCUUCUCUGCAGGGCUGCUCUCAAUCACAUCAUCCCCCAUCGUGUACUGAAAACAAGAACUGCCCCGACCCAGGUGCAGGCCCUUACACUUGGCCUGGCAGAACCUCAUGAGGUUCUCCCAGUCCCACUUCUCCAGCCUGUCCAGGUCCCUCUGGAUGACAUCCCAUCCUUCCUGUGUGGCAACUACCCUACUCAGCUUGAUGUCAUCCGCAAACCUGCUGAGGGGGCACUCAAUCUCGCUGUCAAUAUCAUUGAUAGAGGUAUUGAACAGCACCGGUCCCAGUACGGACCCCUGAGUGCUCACCCUUUAUCUGCGGGCAUCAUGCCAGUAUCAGCAAGAACCAACUUACAUCCGAGUCCUACCCUGAAGCAGGAUUAGUUGAACACAGCUGGAGAUUAGUGCCUGGAAACCCUCAAAGUACUCAAUGUUAUGUCUACCAGAG